rnacentral:lncRNA from 10 species
GUAGGCAAGGGAGAAAGGGAGAGCAGGGAACAAUAGCAUCAAAGCGGGGACUGCACAGCCGCUUCUGAGAAUGGCUUGUGGCUCCUGUGGCCAGAGGGCUAGGUGGGGGCGGAGUGGAGGAGAGACUGAGGCUGGAGAGGAGAGUCAGGGGCCCAGAGGCUGUUGAGAAGCAGAAGAGGAGUGAAAAACAAAUUCUAGCCAUUCCCUGUUGGUGUGAGCCACUAUUGGUAUUUGGCUAUCUAACCAUGAUACAUCUUCACUUGUCACACUGCAAGGACCCCAUAAAAAGAGCCCCAGAUUGGUGGAGCCAAGAUGGCCGAAUAGGAACAGCUCCAGUCUACAGCUCCCAGCGUGAACGACACAGAAGAUGGGUGAUUUCUGCAUUUCCAGCUGAG